rnacentral:rRNA from 1 species
AGGGAAUCUUCCACAAUGGGCGAAAGCCUGAUGGAGCAACGCCGCGUGUGUGAUGAAGGCUUUCGGGUCGUAAAGCACUGUUGUAUGGGAAGAACAGCUAGAAUAGGAAAUGAUUUUAGUUUGACGGUACCAUACCAGAAAGGGACGGCUAAAUACGUGCCAGCAGCCGCGGUAAUACGUAUGUCCCGAGCGUUAUCCGGAUUUAUUGGGCGUAAAGCGAGCGCAGACGGUUUAUUAAGUCUGAUGUGAAAGCCCGGAGCUCAACUCCGGAAUGGCAUUGGAAACUGGUUAACUUGAGUGCAGUAGAGGUAAGUGGAACUCCAUGUGUAGCGGUGGAAUGCGUAGAUAUAUGGAAGAACACCAGUGGCGAAGGCGGCUUACUGGACUACAACUGACGUUGAGGCUCGAAAGUGUGGGUAGCAAACAGGAUUAGAUACCCUGGUAGUCCACACCGUAAACGAUGAACACUAGGUGUUAGGAGGUUUCCCGCCUCUUAGUGCCGAAGCUAACGCAUUAAGUGUUCCGCCUGGGGAGUACGACCGCAAGGUUGAAAC